rnacentral:rRNA from 1 species
AUUGAACGCUGGCGGCGUGCUUAACACAUGCAAGUCGAUCGGUAACGCGGGGGCAACCCCGGCGACGAGAGGCGGACGGGUGAGGAACGCUUGGGAAUCUGCCUAUCAGCGGGGGACAACCCGGGGAAACUCGGGCUAAUACCGCAUACGCUCUACGGAGGAAAGCCGGGGACCGCAAGGCCUGGCACUGAUAGAUGAGCCCAAGCCGGAUUAGCUAGUUGGCGGGGUAACGGCCCACCAAGGCGACGAUCCGUAGCUGGUCUGAGAGGACGAUCAGCGACACCGGAACUGAGAAACGGUCCGGACUCCUACGGGAGGCAGCAGUGGGGAAUAUUGGACAAUGGGGGAAACCCUGAUCCAGCGACGCCGCGUGGGUGAAGAAGGCCUGCGGGUUGUAAAGCUCUUUCGGCCGGGAAGAAAUCGUAUCAGCUAAUACCUGAUGCGGAUGACGGUACCGGCAUAAGAAGCACCGGCUAACUACGUGCCAGCCGCCGCCGUAAAAC